rnacentral:rRNA from 1 species
UACGUAGGGAGCGAGCGUUAUCCGGAAUUAUUGGGCGUAAAGGGUGCGUAGAUGGUUGAUAUAAGUCUUUUGUAAAAAUGCUAGGCUCAACCUAGUAGGGCAAAAGAUACUGAUGAACUAGAGUACGGCAGAGGCAAGUGGAACUACAUGUGUAGCGGUAAAAUGCGUAAAUAUAUGUAAGAACACCAGUGGCGAAGGCGGCUUACUGGACGAUGACUGACGCUGAGGAACGAAAGCCAGGGUAGCAAAUGGG